UACGUAGGGGGCAAGCGUUGUCCGGAUUUAUUGGGCGUAAAGAGCGUGUAGGCGGCUGGGUAGGUCCGUUGUGAAAACUCGAGGCUCAACCUCGAGACGCCGAUGGAAACCCUCCAGCUAGAGUCCGGAAGAGGAGAGUGGAAUUCCUGGUGUAGCGGUGAAAUGCGCAGAUAUCAUUUGGAACGCCAACGGCGAAAGCAGGCAGCUGGGGAUGCACCGACGCUGAGACACGAAAGCCAGGGGAGCGAACGGG
rnacentral:rRNA from 1 species